AUUGAACGCUGGCGGCAGGCCUAACACAUGCAAGUCGAACGAGUGGCGGACGGGUGAGUAAUUUCUUGGAAACUGCCUGAUGGAGGGGGAUAACUACUGGAAACGGUAGCUAAUACCGCAUACCAUCGGAUGUGCCCAGAGGGGAUUAGCUAGUAGGUGGGGUAACGGCUCACCUAGGCGACGAUCCCUAGCUGGUCUGAGAGGAUGACCAGCCACACUGGAACUGAGACACGGUCCAGACUCCUACGGGAGGCAGCAGUGGGGAAUAUUGCGCAAUGGGCGAAAGUCUGAUCCAGCAACGCCGCGUGUAUGAAGAAGGUCUUCGGGUCGUAAAGUACUUUCAGUGGGGAGGCGGUACCCGAAGAAGAAGCCCCGGCUAACUCCGUGCCAGCAGCCGCGGUAAUUC
rnacentral:rRNA from 1 species